UGAGAAUAGGGACCGGGGUGUCUGAUUUGU
rnacentral:piRNA from 1 species